rnacentral:rRNA from 1 species
GACGAACGCUGGCGGCGUGCUUAACACAUGCAAGUCGAACGGAAAGGCCCUGCUUUUGUGGGGUGCUCGAGUGGCUAACGGGUGAGUAACACGUGAGUAACCUGCCCUUGACUUUGGGAUAACUUCAGGAAACUGCGGCUAAUACCGGAUAGGAGCUCCUGCUGCAUGGUGGGGGGUGGAAAGUUUCGGCGGUUGGGGAUGGACUCGCGGCUUAUCAGCUUGUUGGUGGGGUAGUGGCUUACCAAGGCUUUGACGGGUAGCCGGCCUGAGAGGGUGACCGGCCACAUUGGGACUGAGAUACGGCCCAGACUCCUACGGGAGGCAGCAGUGGGGAAUAUUGCACAAUGGGCGGAAGCCUGAUGCAGCAACGCCGCGUGCGGGAUGACGGCCUUCGGGUUGUAAACCGCUUUCGCCUGUGACGAAGCGUGAGUGACGGUAAUGGGUAAAGAAGCACCGGCUAACUACGUG